rnacentral:tRNA from 1 species
CCAUCUUUAGCUCAGAGGUGGAGCACUGGUCUCGUAAACCAGGGGUCGUGAAUUCGAACCUCACAGGAGGCA